rnacentral:misc_RNA from 1 species
GACGAACCGUGCGAACGUUGUUCGGAAUCACUGGGCUUAAAGGGCGCGUAGGCGGGUGGCCAAGUCAGAGGUGAAAUCCUUCGGCUCAACCGAAGACGUGCCUUUGAUACUGGCCGCCUCGAGGGAGAUAGGGGCAUGUGGAACUUCCAGUGGAGCGGUGAAAUGCGUUGAUAUUGGAAGGAACGCCGGUGGCGAAAGCGACGUGCUGGAUCUCUUCUGACGCUGAGGCGCGAAAGCUAGGGGAGCAAACAGG